AUGUCGUCGUCUUGUAGCACGCCGAUGCCUCUAUCGUUGCAGUACCUAGCAGCCACCAUCGUAGCACAUCCGUCGCUGCACCAUCGUGUCGCGGGCCGCAACUCUCAACGUUGCCGCUUGCACCAUUGGCCCGCCAGUUCAAACUUUUUCUCACAGCGGUUGAACAGGUUGAAGCAUUUCACCGUGCCGAUUGAAGCUUUUUUCAUCUACGAUCGAAGCUUGAUUUGUAAACGGCAUCAACUUUUUUCGUCUUGCAGUGCCCGGUUGAAACUUUGUAUAUCUUUCGGCUGUAGCUUUUUUUCACCUAGGGUUGAAGCCUUUUUUAUAGUGGUUGCAGCUUUUCAGUUUGAUAUUGGCUGGGUGAAGCUUCCCUGUUGA
rnacentral:rRNA from 1 species